rnacentral:rRNA from 1 species
CUACGGAACUCCUACGGGAGGCAGCAGUGGGGAAUUUUGGACAAUGGGGGCAACCCUGAUCCAGCAAUGCCGCGUGAGUGAUGAAGGCCUUAGGGUUGUAAAGCUCUUUUACCAGGGAUGAUAAUGACAGUACCUGGAGAAUAAGCUCCGGCUAACUCCGUGCCAGCAGCCGCGGUAAUACGGAGGGAGCUAGCGUUGUUCGGAAUUACUGGGCGCAAAGAGUACGUAGGCGGUUAUUCAAGUCAGAGGUGAAAGCCUGGAGCUCAACUCCAGAACUGCCUUUGAAACUAGAUAGCUAGAAUCACGGAGAGGUUAGUGGAAUUCCGAGUGUAGAGGUGAAAUUCGUAGAUAUUCGGAAGAACACCAGUGGCGAAGGCGACUAACUGGACGUGUAUUGACGCUGAGGUACGAAAGCGUGGGGAGCAAACAGGAUUAGAUACCCCUGUAGUCCUCUUCGA